rnacentral:tRNA from 1 species
GGGCAGGUACCAAAGCGGUCAAAUGGGACAGACUGUAAAUCUGUUGGCUCCGGCCUUCGGGGGUCCGAAUCCCUCCCUGCCCACCA